GGGCUAAUACCGGAUGGUUGUUUGAACCGCAUGGUUCCGACAUAAAAGGUGGCUUCGGCUACCACUUACAGAUGGACCCGCGGCGCAUUAGCUAGUUGGUGAGGUAACGGCUCACCAAGGCAACGAUGCGUAGCCGACCUGAGAGGGUGAUCGGCCACACUGGGACUGAGACACGGCCCAGACUCCUACGGGAGGCAGCAGUAGGGAAUCUUCCGCAAUGGACGAAAGUCUGACGGAGCAACGCCGCGUGAGUGAUGAAGGUUUUCGGAUCGUAAAGCUCUGUUGUUAGGGAAGAACAAGUGCCGUUCAAAUAGGGCGGCACCUUGACGGUACCUAACCAGAAAGCCACGGCUAACUACGUGCCAGCAGCCGCGGUAAUACGUAGGUGGCAAGCGUUGUCCGGAAUUAUUGGGCGUAAAGGGCUCGCAGGCGGUUUCUUAAGUCUGAUGUGAAAGCCCCCGGCUCAACCGGGGAGGGUCAUUGGAAACUGGGGAACUUGAGUGCAGAAGAGGAGAGUGGAAUUCCACGUGUAGCGGUGAAAUGCGUAGAGAUGUGGAGGAACACCAGUGGCGAAGGCGACUCUCUGGUCUGUAACUGACGCUGAGGAGCGAAAGCGUGGGGAGCGAACAGGAUUAGAUACCCUGGUAGUCCACGCCGUAAACGAUGAGUGCUAAGUGUUAGGGGGUUUCCGCCCCUUAGUGCUGCAGCUAACGCAUUAAGCACUCCGCCUGGGGAGUACGGUCGCAAGACUGAAACUCAAAGGAAUUGACGGGGGCCCGCACAAGCGGUGGAGCAUGUGGUUUAAUUCGAAG
rnacentral:rRNA from 1 species